UACGAAGGGGCUAGCGUUGCUCGGAAUCACUGGGCGUAAAGCGCACGUAGGCGGAUUGUUAAGUCAGGGGUGAAAUCCUGGAGCUCAACUCCAGAACUGCCUUUGAUACUGAGGAUCUUGAGUUCGGGAGAGGUGAGUGGAACUGCGAGUGUAGAGGUGAAAUUCGUAGAUAUUCGCAAGAACACCAGUGGCGAAGGCGGCUCACUGGCCCGAUACUGACGCUGAGGCACGAAAGCGUGGGGAGCAACAGG
rnacentral:rRNA from 1 species